rnacentral:rRNA from 1 species
CCUACGGGAGGCAGCAGUGAGGAAUAUUGGUCAAUGGGCGAGAGCCUGAACCAGCCAAGUCGCGUGAGGGAGUACUGCCCUAUGGGUUGUAAACCUCUUUUGUCGGGGAGCAAAAGCCGGACGUGUCCGGCUGUGAGAGUACCCGAAGAAAAAGCAUCGGCUAACUCCGUGCCAGCAGCCGCGGUAAUACGGAGGAUGCGAGCGUUAUCCGGAUUUAUUGGGUUUAAAGGGUGCGCAGGCGGAUUUUUAAGUCAGCGGUAAAAUCGUGGGGCUCAACCCCAUCCAGCCGUUGAAACUGGGGAUCUAGAGUGGGCGAGAGGUAUGCGGAAUGCGUGGUGUAGCGGUGAAAUGCAUAGAUAUCACGCAGAACCCCGAUUGCGAAGGCAGCAUACCGGUGCACAACUGACGCUCAGGCACGAAGGCGUGGGUAUCGAACAGGAUUAGAUACCCUAGUAGUC